rnacentral:rRNA from 1 species
CCUACGGGUGGCAGCAGUGGGGAAUAUUGGACAAUGGGCGAAAGCCUGAUCCAGCCAUGCCGCGUGUGUGAAGAAGGCCUUCGGGUUGUAAAGCACUUUCAGUGGGGAAGAAAGCCUUGGGGCUAAUACCCUCGAGGAAGGACAUCACCCACAGAAGAAGCACCGGCUAACUCCGUGCCAGCAGCCGCGGUAAUACGGAGGGUGCGAGCGUUAAUCGGAAUUACUGGGCGUAAAGCGCGCGUAGGCGGUCUGAUAAGCCGGUUGUGAAAGCCCCGGGCUCAACCUGGGAACGGCAUCCGGAACUGUCAGGCUAGAGUGCAGGAGAGGAAGGUAGAAUUCCCGGUGUAGCGGUGAAAUGCGUAGAGAUCGCGAGGAAUACCAGUGGCGAAGGCGGCCUUCUGGACUGACACUGACGCUGAGGUGCGAAAGCGUGGGUAGCAAACAGGAUUAGAGACCCGUGUAGUC